GGGUGGGAGGGCGGUCUGCUGCGACACCUUCACCCACUGAUCUCCAGGUAGAUUCAACUGACCCCGCUGUCUGGGCAGCUGUCCUCUGCCUCGCUCACCACUCCCUGUGUGUCCUUCUCUGAGCUGUGGGCCUUUCCACAGAGAGGAGGACCAUUCUCCAGUCAAGGGGACAGAGCAGCCGGCCCCCUGCUAGAACCGCCAAACGCGCCCUGAGGAAUUCUGGAAGAUGCAGGCAUUCAGUCCCCAU
rnacentral:snRNA from 1 species